GACGAACGCUGGCGGCGUGCUUAACACAUGCAAGUCGAACGGAGUGGCGAACGGGUGAGUAACACGUGGGUGACCUGCCCUGCACUUCGGGAUAAGCCUGGGUAACUGGGUCUAAUACCGGAUAGUGUGGGAUGAGCCCGCGGCCUAUCAGCUUGUUGGUGGGGUAAUGGCAUACCAAGGCGGCGACGGGUUGCCGGCCUGAGAGGGUGGACGGCCACAUUGGGACUGAGACACGGGCCAGAGUGCUACGGGGGGCAGCGGGGGGGAAUAUUGCACAAUGGGCGGAAGGCUGAGGGAGCGACGCCGCGUGGGAGAUGACGGCCUUCGGGUUGGAAACUCCUUUCGCCAGCGACGCGGUAGAUGGAGAAGAAGCACCGGCUAACUACGUGCCAGCAGCCGCGGUAAUUC
rnacentral:rRNA from 1 species